GGGGCUGUGGCUCAGUGGUAGAGCGCUUGCCUAGCAUGUGUGAGGCCUGGAUUCCAUCCUCAGCACCA
rfam:Ictidomys tridecemlineatus contig074420, whole genome shotgun sequence.